rnacentral:rRNA from 1 species
AUUGAACGCUGGCGGCAGGCCUAACACAUGCAAGUCGAGCGGAUGAUGGGAGCUUGCUCCUGGAUUCAGCGGCGGACGGGUGAGUAAUGCCUAGGAAUCUGCCUGGUAGUGGGGGAUAACGUCCGGAAACGGGCGCUAAUACCGCAUACGUCCUGAGGGAGAAAGUGGGGGAUCUUCGGACCUCACGCUAUCAGAUGAGCCUAGGUCGGAUUAGCUAGUUGGUGGGGUAAAGGCCUACCAAGGCGACGAUCCGUAACUGGUCUGAGAGGAUGAUCAGUCACACUGGAACUUAGACACGGUCCAGACUCCUACGGGAGGCAGCAGUGGGGAAUAUUGGACAAUGGGCGAAAGCCUGAUCCAGCCAUGCCGCGUGUGUGAAGAAGGUCUUCGGAUUGUAAAGCACUUUAAGUUGGGAGGAAGGGCAGUAAGUUAAUACCUUGCUGUUUUGACGUUACCAACAGAAUAAGCACCGGCUAACUUCGUG